CGCUGGCUGGCCCCUCGGACUCAACCAUCUGGGUAAAGGUGAGGCGAUCGAGACGACUCUGGCAGCUCUUCAAGUCGUUCCCGAACCCUUCCGCAGCUUCGCCAACACACUGGUGGACGUCUGCGCAUACGCAGGCUCCGGGAAUGUGCUGAAGGUGCAGCAGCUGCAGCAUAUCUUGGUCAGCGCGGAACACUACGACAACAAGGACAAA